GUUAAUGUUUUGCAGAUUUCGGCAAGGCUCCUGGGCCAUGGGUAUAGAAGUACAGUUUAAGCAGUGACAAAUAGAAAGCACAUGCUUAUUAAAGCUGCGUUACACAACUCAGAGCUGCUUUAAUGUCCUCUGCUCCUAAACCAACAAACCUGCGGGGACUUGUGCCCACCUGUGUGUGUCUUGGAAGAGGAAGUGUCCCUUUGGCUGGUGGCUGKGGAUGCUGGUGAGGACCAAGAGCCGCGAUUUCCCGGCCGGUGGCAGCUCCUGGUUUCCCUUCUCCCCGGGGUGAGGGAGAGGCCCUCGGGGGGCCGACGGCGCGGGAAGGCGGCAGAGGCACAGGGCACCGUCCUCCUCGUGCAGCGGGAUGCCU
rnacentral:lncRNA from 1 species